rnacentral:rRNA from 1 species
UACAGAGGUCUCAAGCGUUGUUCGGAUUCAUUGGGCGUAAAGGGUGCGUAGGCGGCGCGGUAAGUCGGAUGGGAAAUCUCGGAGCUUAACUCCGAAACUGCAUUCGAUACUGCCGUGCUUGAGGACUGGAGAGGAGACUGGAAUUUACGGUGUAGCGGUGAAAUGCGUAGAUAUCGUAAGGAAGACCAGUGGCGAAGGCGGGUCUCUGGACAGUUCCUGACGCUGAGGCACGAAGGCCAGGGGAGCAAACGGG